AAAACCCGUAUCUCAAAUUGCGAGGCCUAAUAUUGAGUACUCUCACCUCUCAUCCACGAUAGCUUCACACUUGCACGUAAACUUCUCUCUCAAUUCGCUCGCUGCUCGUUGGAUUCGCUGGCCUCUGCUGCUGCGAUAGAUUCGUGUAUAGAUUCUUUGGCCUCUGCUGGUGCUAAAUCUUCUAUAUCUAUCUACAAUUUGCUCGUUGGGUUUAUACACAAGAAGAGGGGUUGCUGCCAAAUCCAUUGGUUCAAUUCACAAGAGGGGUUUCUGUUAAAUCACAAGUAGAAGGGUUUCUGCCAAAUCGCUGGGUAGGUGAGUAAACUACAGGACUUCUUUCUAAAAAUUUUAUUGAGGAACAAAGACUUCUGCUGCUUGGUGAUACUUGGAUGCUAAUUGCUUCGCAGUAGAGCAAUAUAGCAUGCCUUUGUCUAAAUUGAAUCAAUCCAAGGUGGCUAGUCGAUGAUACAAUCAUAUGGAAAUACACACAUGAUAAUCUAGCAGAUCCAAGACAGAGCUUGGUUAGACCGACAUUUCAUUUAUGGGAUGCGUGUGAUGCGACAUGCUCGAAGAAAAAAAUGUAUAUUAAGUUGGACUUAAGAAAAUUACCAGGCCACCCCUAAUUGAAGAGAACCAACUGAAGAGACGGGGCAUAGAAGGAGACUGAUGGUAUCAUCGUAGUCAAACUCUGGAGUUGGUCAAACUCCAACAUAUCGUUGUUCAAGUAUUCCUUGUGCUGCCAAUUGGGGUGGAGAACUACCAUUCAUCUCCACCAAGUGUUCGACAAGAUGGGCUAACGAAAAUUUGAUGAGGCGGCGACAAAAUGACACGAUCGUGGAUCUUAACUAGGGUUUAACAUUUCUGGAGAUUCAGGCAAUUGACAUAUUUACGGGAUGUGUCAAUUCAGAUGGGGAUAAAGAUGGUUUUUUAUUCACCAGGAUUAUAUGUAUUUAAUUGACAUUUUUAAGAUUGUAUUAUAUUUCUUUUUCCAAAAAAAUAGAUUGUAUUAUAUAUAUGAAAUAUCUUCUUCUUUUUGUCGAAA